rnacentral:rRNA from 1 species
GGUUCCUACGGGAGGCAGCAGUAGGGAAUUUUCGUCAAUGGGCGCAACCCUGAACGAGCAAUGCCGCGUGAACGAGGAAGGUCUUCGGAUCGUAAAGUUCUGUUGAAGGGGAAAAAGAGCGGAGAGAGGAAAUGGUCUCCGAUUGAUAUUACCCUUCGAGGAAGUCACGGCUAACUACGUGCCAGCAGCCGCGGUAAUACGUAGGUGGCGAGCGUUAUCCGGAUUUAUUGGGUUUAAAGGGUGCGCAGGCGGGCUGUUAAGUCAGCGGUCAAAGCCCGGGGCUCAACCCCGGCCCGCCGUUGAAG